GAUGAACGCUAGCGGGAGGCCUAACACAUGCAAGUCGAGCGGGAUUUGUUGGUUAGCUUGCUAACUAACAAUGAGAGCGGCGUACGGGUGCGUAGCACGUGUGCAACCUGCCUUUAUCUGGUGGAUAGCCUUUCGAAAGGAAGAUUAAUACCCCAUAACAUAUUGAUUGGCAUCAGUUAAUAUUGAAAGCUCUGGCGGCUAGAGAGGGGCACGCGUAAGAUGAGCUAGUUGGUGAGGUAACGGCUCACCAAGGCUGCGAUCAUUAGGGGGCCUGAGAGGGAGAUCCCCCACACUGGUACUGAGACACGGACCAGACUCCUACGGGAGGCAGCAGUGAGGAAUAUUGGACAAUGGGUGAGAGCCUGAUCCAGCCAACCCGCGUGAAGGACUAAGGACCUAUGGGUUGUAAACUUCUUUUAUACAGGGAUAAACCUACUCUCGUGAGGGUAGCUGAAGGUACUGUAUGAAUAAGCACCGGCUAACUCCGUG
rnacentral:rRNA from 1 species